GUAGCACCAUGUCUGGUUUAUGUAGUGUUGGACUUGAACCCAGAGCUUCAUACAUGCUGGGUAAGCACUUUACAGCCAAGCUGCAUCCCUGGCCUUGCAGUACGUGGUUAACCUGCAGCGUAAGCUUUGAGUUUAUUUUUCAGCACCAAAGGAAAAUAAAAGGAAGCAUGUGUGGUGUCACCUAAUAUUAGUUGUAGCCACUCUUAGAGUAAGACAGGAGGAUCCUUUGAACCUAGGAAUUCACUGCCAUCCUAGUUGUACUUCUCUGUCAAAAGACAGCACUUAAGUUCAAGAAACAGCACUUCAAGUUCAUGUCUAUGCUGCUAGCACCCUUGUCAGGAGGUUGAAGCAAAAUCUUGUACCACAAAAAAAAAAAAAAAAUCUUAACAUGUUUUGGUAAACAACAUAUUUAAAAUGUAUGCGAUUCAGAGUUUGAAAAUCAGGAAAUAACUUUGUAAAUAAAAACCUGUCAGAUUAUGUAGUUCAUGAGCUCAGUUAUGGGUGUUCUAGUUGGUUACCUGGGUUAACACAGAUAGCUUUAAAUCCUUGGACUGUUUCCAUUACUAUGUGAAAGGCACUGCUAGGUACCCAGAAUGUAAGGAGACACAGGCUUCAACUCUAAGCCUGGUAGGAAAGCUGUGUCUGUAGACAGUCUCUGAAGGCAGUGCAGCCUGAGCUGGGCUGACAAAACGAUAAGAAACAAGUGGAUGUCCAAGUGCUUGCCAACUUGGAUCAUACGGCUUUGGCCCAAUUUUUAUUUAGUGCACAUGCGUGAGAGGGUGUGUGGAGCAGUGUGUAAGUUAACUUUAGGGCUCACUUCUGUGUUGUAACUAUAGAGCUGCAUAUUCUAUGGCUUUUGUACUGUGUUCACCAGGGUUGUGUGACAACUGCCUUUACUUGAUGACACCUCUCACCCUAUUUUCCACAGCUUCAGAGGGAAUAAAUAUAUUUUGAUUCU
rnacentral:lncRNA from 1 species